AAAACACUGACGAACGCUGGCGGCGUGCUUAACACAUGCAAGUCGAGCGCCCCGCAAGGGGAGCGGCAGACGGGUGAGUAACGCGUGGGAAUCUACCUUUUGCUACGGAAUAACUCAGGGAAACUUGUGCUAAUACCGUAUGUGCCCUUCGGGGGAAAGAUUUAUCGGCAAAGGAUGAGCCCGCGUUGGAUUAGCUAGUUGGUGAGGUAAAGGCUCACCAAGGCGACGAUCCAUAGCUGGUCUGAGAGGAUGAUCAGCCACACUGGGACUGAGACACGGCCCAG
rnacentral:rRNA from 1 species